UACGGAGGGGGCUAGCGUUGUUCGGAAUUACUGGGCGUAAAGCGCACGUAGGCGGCUUUGUAAGUUAGAGGUGAAAGCCCGGGGCUCAACCCCGGAAUUGCCUUUAAGACUGCAUCGCUAGAAUUGUGGAGAGGUGAGUGCAAUUCCGAGUGUAGAGGUGAAAUUCGUAGAUAUUCGGAAGAACACCAGUGGCGAAGGCGACUCACUGGACACAUAUUGACGCUGAGGUGCGAAAGCGUGGGGAGCAAACAGG
rnacentral:rRNA from 1 species